CCUACGGGUGGCAGCAGUGGGGAAUAUUGGACAAUGGGCGAAAGCCUGAUCCAGCCAUGCCGCGUGUGUGAAGAAGGCCUUCGGGUUGUAAAGCACUUUCAGUGGGGAAGAAAGCCUUGGGGCUAAUACCCUCGAGGAAGGACAUCACCCACAGAAGAAGCACCGGCUAACUCCGUGCCAGCAGCCGCGGUAAUACGGAGGGUGCGAGCGUUAAUCGGAAUUACUGGGCGUAAAGCGCGCGUAGGCGGUCUGAUAAGCCGGUUGUGAAAGCCCCGGGCUCAACCUGGGAACGGCAUCCGGAGUGGACAGGAAAGAGAGGAGGGGAGGGAGGUAAAAGCCCGCGUGGAGCGGUGAAUUGGGGAGAGAGCGGGAGGAAACCGGGAGGCGAAGGCGGCUUUUGGGACUGACACAUACGCGGGGGUGCGUACGGGGGGGUCGCACACAGGGUAAAGGAGCCUGGUAUUC
rnacentral:rRNA from 1 species